rnacentral:rRNA from 1 species
GACGAACGCUGGCGGCGUGCCUAAUACAUGCAAGUUGAGCGCUGAAGGUUGGUACUUGUACCAACUGGAUGAGCAGCGAACGGGUGAGUAACGCGUGGGGAAUCUGCCUUUGAGCGGGGGACAACAUUUGGAAACGAAUGCUAAUACCGCAUAAAAACUUUAAACACAAGGUUUAAGUGUGAAAGAUGCAAUUGCAUCACUCAAAGAUGAUCCCGCGUUGUAUUAGCUAGUUGGUGAGGUAAAGGCGCACCAAGGCGAUGAUACAUAGCCGACCUGAGAGGGUGAUCGGCCACAUUGGGACUGGGACACGGCCCAAACUCCUACGGGAGGCAGCCGUAGGGAAUCUUCGGCCAUGGACGAAAGUCUGACCGAGCAACGCCGCGUGAGUGAAGAAGGUUUUCGGAUCGUAAAACUCUGUUGGUAGGGAAGAACGUUGGUGAGAGUGGAAAGCUCAUCAAGUGACGGUAACUACCCAGAAAGGGACGGCUAACUACGUG